rnacentral:rRNA from 1 species
UACAGAGGGUGCGAGCGUUGUCCGGAAUCACUGGGCGUAAAGGGCGCGUAGGUGGCGCGACAAGUCAGUGGUGAAAGUUCGACGCUCAACGUCGAAUCGGCCACUGAUACUGUUGGGCUUGAGCACUGUAGAGGCUAAUGGAAUUCCGGGGUGUAGCGGUGGAAUGCGUAGAGAUCCGGAAGAACACCGGUGGCGAAGGCGGGUCUCUGGGCCAAUACUGACGCUGAGGAGCGAAAGCGUGGGGAGCGAACAGG